ACAGAGAAUCUACUUGAUGUUUUAGGAAUUUUAGAGAUAUUGUUUUGUUUAAGAUGUUUAAGUAUAGUUAUGGUAAAUAAGAAUGACAAGAAGAAUCACCUUGGACAAGAAGAUAUACAACAAAAUCAGGCUAGUGGGACCAGUUCUUACUUUGAGAUGCCAGGUGAAUAAUGAUAUGCAGUAUUGAGCCAGAAAAGGUGAACACAGCCACAUGAAGUUCUCCGAGGAAAUAGAAGCAGAGCACUGAAACAGACAUCAAUAAAAGAAAUAGUAGUUUGAAUAAUCAGAAACAUUUGAUCAAAUUUAUGAUUUGAACAGUUCCUCACCGACAGACUUCCAGCAAAAUAAUUGUAUAAAUAAAGUGUUUGAUUCCAAGAAAACCAGUAAAAAACAAAAGACUUGCUGCUAGAAAUGAAUAUUGUUUUUGUUAUAGUGAAUGUAAGAUGAUUGAA